UCGCACACUAGCAAAAAAUAUCCAUAGCCUAUUAGGCUUAAAAAUUUGUUAUAUAUAUAUAAUCGACCUAGAGUUGAUCUUCAUUUCAUAAGGACGUGUCUACAGAGAACGCACCUCAUUAUAAUUUCACCGGACAGCCAAUUGAAACAAACAAUGAUGAAAAACCUCUUUAUUCUCGGUUUUGUUCUGGCAACAUGCUUUCUGAUGUCGGUAUCUGCUAGAGCUAGAGGAUAUUACUGUCCAUCAUGUCCUUACUUUCAGAGGAAUAUUGACCGAUGUCCACAGCGAUGUAAGGUGGACUGCGUAGCGGACCCGUGUCAGUUUGAACAUUGCGACGGUGCAGUGUGUGAAGCCUUUUAUUGUGGAGGGUGCCAGGCUUGCUUCUACAAAAACGGGAUCCUGGUAAAGCAUUGCCCGAAUAUUAGUUAUUAGUCGAAUAAAAUUGAAGUUUU